AGCUACCCUUUCUUGGCGAGGCAACCCGAUGACCGAAUUCGUAUGGAAGAACUGCCUGAGAAGGUCAUCCCUGAAAUUGGUUACCAAUUAUUACACAACUAUGUUGGCCAAAUUCAGAACUGGUGUUGGACCUGCAACAUUCAUCCGCAAGCAUCAAGAUCAUUUACCAGGUUCCAUGUAUUUUGGGCGUUAACCUAACUGAUGUGGAUCUGUUAGAAUUUCUUGAACAGGUAAGUCCUUCGACACUAAUUAGCUCUCAUAUUCACUCCUUCAAGGUACUUGUUUACCCUUUUUACGUUUCAAUACUCAUUUAUGAUUUUACUAGGUAUCGAAUGAAAGUUGUGGAGUUGUUCUUGAAAGCCCCACUCGAACAGCUAGUAGUUUAAUUAUAAGAAGUUUUGAUUUGUAGUAUUUUGAAUUAAGACACUUGAUUGGACAGACUUUCGCCAAUCUCCCUCAGUGGUCAUUUUCCUUUACAUGGUCUAGUCUUUUUGAUUUUGGUUGUUUCUUAAAAGUUGAAAUUGUGCUGUGUAAGAGAAUGGGGAAUUAUAUGUUUUCAGAUUUUAUUAAUGUUUUGAGGAUCAAUAGAGGCGAGCUGCUGGGAAUAUGGCAAGUUGUGCUAUUAUGCAAUUUUAAUUGCUUAGACUAGUUGCACAAAAGGCAGUGACCGGUGAGGCUCUUCAAUGAAUUCUUAUGUUCCUUCGUUUGCUACUUCUGAUGUUGAGGGCAUAUGCUUUACAUGAAAAUUUGAAACUAAUUUUUCUCCUAUUAGUAUGAUGCUCCAAUCUAGUAUCAUAAUUUUUUUCCAAAUGAAUAUUCUUAUAUCCGAACUCUUAUUUCCUUUUUCCAUGAGAUUUACUUCCUUAUAGGACUAUUCUUUUUAUGUUUGUUAUUCUUUUAAGUUGUCUACUCUUAGUUUGAACUUUAACCUAGUUUCCACUUCCCAUUCGGUAUCAGUUAUUAUAGGCAUUGGGACCUGCUAUGUUAAGGUGGAUGACAAUGGAUUUGGUGUCUCCACGAGAUGGACUGCUGAUGGGGGAAAGAUAUGGCAAUCUUUUUUUGCAAAAUGUUGGACUGACAUCUUCUUUUCUAUUGUAUUGAUGCUGCUGUACAUAAUUUAUUUUGCCUAACAAAUAUUAUGUUCCUAACUUGGAAUUGUUGUUGUAGUCUAUAGGAUAUUUUGAUCAAGUAGGCUGUUUGACAGUUUUUGUUCAUUAAUAUCUUUUUACUGAUGUUCUGUUAUUUAUUAU